GGCUGCAGAAUUUAUAACUGUACAAAGGUAGCAUAAUAAUUUGUUUUUUAAUUAAAAACUAGUAUGAAUGAUUAAAUGAAAUAUAAACUGUUUCAAUUAAAUAAAAAUUUAAAUUUUUAUUUAAGUUAAAAAACUUAAAUAAAUUUAAAAGACGACAAGACCCUAUAGAAUUUUAUUUAUUAUUUAAAAAUAAAAUUUAAUUAAUUUAUUUAAAUUUAUACAAUAAAUUUAAUUGGGGUAAUUUAAAAAUUUUAUAAAUUUUUUUUAUAUAAAACAUUAAUUAAUGAUUAUAAAAUCUUAUAUUAUAAAUUAUUAAAAUUAAUUACCUUAGGGAUAACAGCAUAAUUUUUUUUAAAAGACCUUAUU
rnacentral:rRNA from 1 species